CUUCUCGUGGUGUAGUGGUAACGUGCCUGUCUACUGAAUAAGAGUCAUGAGUUCGAGUCUCACCGACAGGA
rnacentral:tRNA from 1 species